CGGUGUUCUGUUGAAUGAGUAGAGCGGGACCGUCAGUCGGAGCUUUCAUCUCUAUGCCCGAACAACCUACAGCUUCGCUUUUUCUGCUGAAUCUGGAUGCGCGUUGCCGUUUGUCACGUUUGGGGCACCAAUGAAUCACAAAAGAAAAGUUCGAAAAGAUGUCUUUAAAAAAAGAGCCUGUUCGUUCCCAUGGCAGAAAAGAUCCACCGACCUUUUACAGCAACUAAGCGGAAGUAUGUUGUUCCAUUGUACUUGGCUUUUAUCCAACAUCACAACCCAGAGCAGCUGAUAUUAAAUUGUUGCCUUUAUGAGCGUUUUGCGAGUUUGUUUUCCCCGUCCAAUGCUGCGUGUCAGUUCCUCCAGAAAAGUGUAAUUGAGGCAAGCAUUUAUUUGUCUUUAAACUAUGAAAACAAUCGUAUUCCAUAUGAAGGAAGCGGCCAGGGUCACUUAUCUGCGUCACAAAGAAAGAGUGGCAGAAAUUUGAAGAUUUGGAGGUUUUUUACGCGUAAAUUGAGGGUCAUUUCUACUAUCUUACAGCAUAUUUCUUUCAUUUGAAAGUUUUAGCAUAUAAAUGACCAUGUUUAUAUAAGGCAAUGCAAUCAUUUGUGCUUAUUGAAUUCGUGUUAACGUCGUCGUCAAAAAAAGAAAUUUUAAAGCGUUGUAAGAAAAACCUAAAGAUUACAAUUUGAAAACACGUUUCCUGUUUGCCCAGAUGGAACUGAGUAGAUUCCCGGAGGUAAAGGGCGACUACUGUUAAAAAGUAACACCUGCGCACAUUUUACGCAUGGAAAGGACGAGGAAAGGACGCGAACUGGGAUAUGUAACAGUGACUGACUCUUCAGUCAAAAGACUUUACUCUUUUCCUGCCAGCCUCGUUGGAGAUCUUACCCCGGGAUAAGUACGUGUGUAGAGCGCACAGUCAAAUGGGGACACGAGGCCCCACUGAGCUCCACUUCAGCCUCAGCUCUUGACAAAGCAACAACAGGAUCUGAUUCACAAAACAGUGACACACACACACACACAUACACAAAAAAUCAAUACAAGAGACCCAAGUGUGAGACAAUCAGUAGCAUUUACAUGGAAUCAAUACUAGUCAAUCCCUGGGAGUGUGGGAAAGUGUGUGCAUGAAUAGGUCUGUAUACACUUUUGUUGUUUCUGUUAAACUCAUGUUUUUUCUUUUGCUUAAAGCGGGUGAUUUGGAAAAUCGCAUAUGCUCCCCCCUAAAGAACUCCAAACUUUAAUUGUGUUUAUGUGAUUUAAAAAGGGCGAGAGCAAAAGUGUAGCCUUAAAAUGAUGUCAACUUGAGAAGUAUUGGAAGCCUCGGAAGGAAGCCAAAGCAA